rnacentral:ncRNA from 1 species
CAUCAUGCGAUGAAGAGGAGAGUAAAUAAAUUCAUUCUUUUCAGAGAGCUCCGGUAGCUGGGAAGGAGUAAGAAUGGUUUAUUGAAGCAAGCCUUGGAGCAUCGCACGGGAACCGAAAAAAAGGGGAUCGUGUGACAGGUGGCGCCUGUUAUAGAGCUAAGGUAUUCGUGUACCUACUGAGUUUAAUAUGGUGACAUAUUAAUAAAAUGGGGUGGCAUCGCGAAUGAAAAUUCGUCCCCAAG